AUUGAACGCUGGCGGCAGGCCUAACACAUGCAAGUCGAGCGGAUGAAGGGAGCUUGCUCCUGGAUUCAGCGGCGGACGGGCGAGUAAUGCCUAGGAAUCUGCCUGGUAGUGGGGGAUAACGUCCGGAAACGGGCGCUAAUAACGCAUACGUCCUGAGGGAGAAAGUGGGGGAUCUUCGGACCUCACGCUAUCAGAUGAGCCUAGGUCGGAUUAGCUAGUUGGUGGGGUAAAGGCCUACCAAGGCGACGAUCCGUAACUGGUCUGAGAGGAUGAUCAGUCACACUGGAACUGAGACACGGUCCAGACUCCUACGGGAGGCAGCAGUGGGGAAUAUUGGACAAUGGGCGAAAGCCUGAUCCAGCCAUGCCGCGUGUGUGAAGAAGGUCUUCGGAUUGUAAAGCACUUUAAGUUGGGAGGAAGGGCAGUAAGUUAAUACCUUGCUGUUUUGACGUUACCAACAGAAUAAGCACCGGCUAACUUCGUG
rnacentral:rRNA from 1 species